rnacentral:rRNA from 1 species
AGAGUUUGAUCCUGGCUCAGGAUGAACGCUAGCUACAGGCUUAACACAUGCAAGUCGAGGGGCAGCAUGGUCUUAGCUUGCUAAGGCCGAUGGCGACCGGCGCACGGGUGAGUAACACGUAUCCAACCUGCCGUCUACUCUUGGACAGCCUUCUGAAAGGAAGAUUAAUACAAGAUGGCAUCAUGAGUCCGCAUGUUCACAUGAUUAAAGGUAUUCCGGUAGACGAUGGGGAUGCGUUCCAUUAGAUAGUAGGCGGGGUAACGGCCCACCUAGUCUUCGAUGGAUAGGGGUUCUGAGAGGAAGGUCCCCCACAUUGGAACUGAGACACGGUCCAAACUCCUACGGGAGGCAGCAGUGAGGAAUAUUGGUCAAUGGACGAGAGUCUGAACCAGCCAAGUAGCGUGAAGGAUGACUGCCCUAUGGGUUGUAAACUUCUUUUAUAAAGGAAUAAAGUCGGGUAUGUAUACCCGUUUGCAUGUACUUUAUGAAUAAGGAUCGGCUAACUCCGUGCCAGCAGCCGCGGUAAUACGGAGGAUCCGAGCGUUAUCCGGAUUUAUUGGGUUUAAAGGGAGCGUAGAUGGAUGUUUAAGUCAGUUGUGAAAGUUUGCGGCUCAACCGUAAAAUUGCAGUUGAUACUGGAUAUCUUGAGUGCAGUUGAGGCAGGCGGAAUUCGUGGUGUAGCGGUGAAAUGCUUAGAUAUCACGAAGAACUCCGAUUGCGAAGGCAGCUCACUGGAGUGUAACUGACGUUGAUGCUCGAAAGUGUGGGUAUCAAACAGGAUUAGAUACCCUGGUAGUCCACACGGUAAACGAUGAAUACUCGCUGUUUGCGAUAUACUGCAAGCGGCCAAGCGAAAGCGUUAAGUAUUCCACCUGGGGAGUACGCCGGCAACGGUGAAACUCAAAGGAAUUGACGGGGGCCCGCACAAGCGGAGGAACAUGUGGUUUAA